CCGUCAAUUCAUUUGAGUUUCACCCUUGCGAGCAUACUCCCCAGGCGGUGCACUUACCGCGUUAGCUCCGGCACUGAAGCAUCCACCCCAGCACCUAGUGCACAUCAUUGACAGUGUGGACUACCAGGGUAUCUAAUCCUGUUUGAUCCCCACACUUUCGCACCUCAGCGUCAAUCAUCGGCCAGGAGCUCGCCUUCGCCACUGGUAUUCUUCCAGAUCUCUACAGAUUUCACCCCUACACCUGGAAUUCUAGCUCCCUCUCCGUGAUUCAAGCUCAGCAGUACCCAACGCAAUCCACCGGUUGAGCCGGUGACUUUCACGCCAGGCUUACCAAGCCGCCUACAUGCCCUUUACGCCCAGUAAUUCCGAACAACGCUCGCCCCCUACGUGUUACCGCGGCUGCUGGCACGUAGUUAGCCGGGGCUUAUUCGCCGGUUCAUGUCAUCGCACGGGCAUUACCUCCCAUGCUUAUUCUUCCCCAGCAAAAGGACUUUACAACCUUUCGGCCUUCAUCAUCCACGCGGCGUCGCUCCGUCAGACUUUCGUCCAUUGCGGAAUAUUCUUAGCUGCUGCCUCCCGUAGGAGU
rnacentral:rRNA from 1 species